GAUGAACGCUGGCGGCGUGCCUAAUACAUGCAAGUCGAGCGAACAGAUGAGGAGCUUGCUCCUCUGACGUUAGCGGCGGACGGGUGAGUAACACGUGGAUAACCUACCUAUAAGACUGGGAUAACUUCGGGAAACCGGAGCUAAUACCGGAUAAUAUAUUGAACCGCAUGGUUCAAUAGUGAAAGACGGUUUUGCUGUCACUUAUAGAUGGAUCCGCGCCGCAUUAGCUAGUUGGUAAGGUAACGGCUUACCAAGGCAACGAUGCGUAGCCGACCUGAGAGGGUGAUCGGCCACACUGGAACUGAGACACGGUCCAGACUCCUACGGGAGGCAGCAGUAGGGAAUCUUCCGCAAUGGGCGAAAGCCUGACGGAGCAACGCCGCGUGAGUGAUGAAGGUCUUCGGUUCGUAAAACUCUGUUAUUGGGGAAGAACAAAUGUGUAAGUAACUAUGCACGUCUUGACGGUACCUAAUCAGAAAGCCACGGCUAACUACGUG
rnacentral:rRNA from 1 species